rnacentral:lncRNA from 1 species
UACCAUAUGAAUAUUUAUAUAAAAUAACUCAACAUCGGACUAUGUGCUCUAAGAUAAAUAUAGAUUCAGAUUGUACUUUUUUUUGUAUGAAAAAAAAUUGAUCUUAUUUUAUGACAAUAAUUAUUAAGUUGUAUUUGACAUAGAUUUCAAAAUAUAAUGAAUUAUUUUUUUCAUUUACAGUUCAGUUCAGACAUUAUAUUUUGAAGAUAAUACAAAAUAUAAUUUAAUAAUUAAAAUUUUUAAAAUUGUGAAAGAAGAUCAACCAUCCUUUUAGGUGAAAUAUUCAACC